rnacentral:tRNA from 1 species
GGCAGUGUGACAUAGUGGUUUAAGUGUCAGACUACAACUCUGGAGACCAGGGUUCAAUUCCCAGCUCAGCCA